UGUGAGCUCGAUGAGUAGGGCGGGACACGUGGUAUCCUGUCUGAAUAUGGGGGGACCAUCCUCCAAGGCUAAAUACUCCUGACUGACCGAUAGUGAACCAGUACCGUGAGGGAAAGGCGAAAAGAACCCCGGCGAGGGGAGUGAAAAAGAACCUGAAACCGUGUACGUACAAGCAGUGGGAGCACGCUUAGGCGUGUGACUGCGUACCUUUUGUAUAAUGGGUCAGCGACUUAUAUUCUGUAGCAAGGUUAACCGAAUAGGGGAGCCGAAGGGAAACCGAGUCUUAACUGGGCGUUAAGUUGCAGGGUAUAGACCCGAAACCCGGUGAUCUAGCCAUGGGCAGGUUGAAGGUUGGGUAACACUAACUGGAGGACCGAACCGACUAAUGUUGAAAAAUUAGCGGAUGACUUGUGGCUGGGGGUGAAAGGCCAAUCAAACCGGGAGAUAGCUGGUUCUCCCCGAAAGCUAUUUAGGUAGCGCCUCGUGAAUUCAUCUCCGGGGGUAGAGCACUGUUUCGGCAAGGGGGUCAUCCCGACUUACCAACCCGAUGCAAACUGCGAAUACCGGAGAAUGUUAUCACGGGAGACACACGGCGGGUGCUAACGUCCGUCGUGAAGAGGGAAACAACCCAGACCGCCAGCUAAGGUCCCAAAGUCAUGGUUAAGUGGGAAACGAUGUGGGAAGGCCCAGACAGCCAGGAUGUUGGCUUAGAAGCAGCCAUCAUUUAAAGAAAGCGUAAUAGCUCACUGGUCGAGUCGGCCUGCGCGGAAGAUGUAACGGGGCUAAACCAUGCACCGAAGCUGCGGCAGCGACGCUGAUGCGUUGUUGGGUAGGGGAGCGUUCUGUAAGCCUGUGAAGGUGUGCUGUGAGGCAUGCUGGAGGUAUCAGAAGUGCGAAUGCUGACAUAAGUAACGAUAAAGCGGGUGAAAAGCCCGCUCGCCGGAAGACCAAGGGUUCCUGUCCAACGUUAAUCGGGGCAGGGUGAGUCGACCCCUAAGGCGAGGCCGAAAGGCGUAGUCGAUGGGAAACAGGUUAAUAUUCCUGUACUUGGUGUUACUGCGAAGGGGGGACGGAGAAGGCUAUGUUGGCCGGGCGACGGUUGUCCCGGUUUAAGCGUGUAGGCUGGUUUUCCAGGCAAAUCCGGAAAAUCAAGGCUGAGGCGUGAUGACGAGGCACUACGGUGCUGAAGCAACAAAUGCCCUGCUUCCAGGAAAAGCCUCUAAGCAUCAGGUAACAUCAAAUCGUACCCCAAACCGACACAGGUGGUCAGGUAGAGAAUACCAAGGCGCUUGAGAGAACUCGGGUGAAGGAACUAGGCAAAAUGGUGCCGUAACUUCGGGAGAAGGCACGCUGAUAUGUAGGUGAAGCGACUUGCUCGUGGAGCUGAAAUCAGUCGAAGAUACCAGCUGGCUGCAACUGUUUAUUAAAAACACAGCACUGUGCAAACACGAAAGUGGACGUAUACGGUGUGACGCCUGCCCGGUGCCGGAAGGUUAAUUGAUGGGGUCAGCGCAAGCGAAGCUCUUGAUCGAAGCCCCGGUAAACGGCGGCCGUAACUAUAACGGUCCUAAGGUAGCGAAAUUCCUUGUCGGGUAAGUUCCGACCUGCACGAAUGGCGUAAUGAUGGCCAGGCUGUCUCCACCCGAGACUCAGUGAAAUUGAACUCGCUGUGAAGAUGCAGUGUACCCGCGGCAAGACGGAAAGACCCCGUGAACCUUUACUAUAGCUUGACACUGAACAUUGAGCCUUGAUGUGUAGGAUAGGUGGGAGGCUUUGAAGUGUGGACGCCAGUCUGCAUGGAGCCGACCUUGAAAUACCACCCUUUAAUGUUUGAUGUUCUAACGUUGACCCGUAAUCCGGGUUGCGGACAGUGUCUGGUGGGUAGUUUGACUGGGGCGGUCUCCUCCUAAAGAGUAACGGAGGAGCACGAAGGUUGGCUAAUCCUGGUCGGACAUCAGGAGGUUAGUGCAAUGGCAUAAGCCAGCUUGACUGCGAGCGUGACGGCGCGAGCAGGUGCGAAAGCAGGUCAUAGUGAUCCGGUGGUUCUGAAUGGAAGGGCCAUCGCUCAACGGAUAAAAGGUACUCCGGGGAUAACAGGCUGAUACCGCCCAAGAGUUCAUAUCGACGGCGGUGUUUGGCACCUCGAUGUCGGCUCAUCACAUCCUGGGGCUGAAGUAGGUCCCAAGGGUAUGGCUGUUCGCCAUUUAAAGUGGUACGCGAGCUGGGUUUAGAACGUCGUGAGACAGUUCGGUCCCUAUCUGCCGUGGGCGCUGGAGAACUGAGGGGGGCUGCUCCUAGUACGAGAGGACCGGAGUGGACGCAUCACUGGUGUUCGGGUUGUCAUGCCAAUGGCACUGCCCGGUAGCUAAAUGCGGAAGAGAUAAGUGCUGAAAGCAUCUAAGCACGAAACUUGCCCCGAGAUGAGUUCUCCCUGACUCCUUGAGAGUCCUGAAGGAACGUUGAAGACGACGACGUUGAUAGGCCGGGUGUGUAAGCGCAGCGAUGCGUUGAGCUAACCGGUACUAAUGAACCGUGAGGCUUAACN
rnacentral:rRNA from 1 species